ACUACCGCGGAAAAUACUAUUGAGUAUUUUUUCAUGAUAAGAACUGUAUUUGAAAGGGGGCGGAAGGUUCUUAGCCAAGUUUUAGCGCGGAUAAAUCCCCAGAUUCCUCCGUUCUAUUUGUAGUAUACACGUUGUACACAUUCAGACAUACUGCGCACAAAUAAAUAUCUAGUAAAACAAAAACUUGACCUAAAAUAUAAAACCUGCAACUCCACCGAGACCUCAAAACUCCAAAAGUACAAGUACGAAGGAAUUCAGUUCCAGACCAG